UUCAGUGGCCAGCACUCCUCACAUUCCUCCCUCUAUCCACCUUCUUUCCCCUCUGGGACAAAGGUUGAAGACCAAGUUCCUCCUCCUUACCUGUCUUCUUGUCCUCCCUCCUUCCCACUGAUCCCUACCCCCAGUGCCACAACCUAUGUUCUGGUCUCCUUCACUGGCCUAAUGCCCCCGAAUCCUCCCCAGUCUCCUCAUACCCAGUCUCGCCAGACUCUUGACCUCCUCUGCCCUCUCCAAGAGGAGUUUUGUCCCAAGCCUACGAUCUGACCGGGCAUGACCUCUAUGUGAUCCAGGCCUUCACUCUCACUCCUGAGGAGCGAGGGAAUUCAGGCAGCAGUUACAGCUUGCAGAUCAGACCCACCGAGUGGACAAUAUGGUCCUUGUGGUUCUUCUGUGUGAAGAUGCCAGCCACAGAGCCCUACUGGGGCUAACAACUGGGUCAAAACAGACAAGAAGAAGAGACCUUAUGUUUCGUUGCCUCCUCCAAGGGGUCUCAAGCUCCUAGGCUCAAGUGAUGUUCCUGCCACAGCCUCCUGAGUAGAUGGAAUCCAGGUAGAAGCCACUGCACUCACUCCAGACUGCCUCCCUCCCUUGCUUCCUGACUACAUCUUGGACCAGAGUUUUCAUACUUUAUAUCAGCUGUGAACUUCUUUACAGCCCUCAAAGAAUUCCUUUUUUGUAUACAUUAGCUGGAAUUAAACCCUAUAAUUUUCAUC